UUCCAGCCUCCUCCCGGAGCUGCGCAGGGCAGGCAGGCAGGGAGCCUGCCCUGCUCCCGGUGCACGUCCAGCUGCUGCUCUGGUGACUCCCAAGCAGUUUCCACGGAGGAGGGGUCAGAGUUCUCUGAGCUGCAGACUGAAGUACUGCCCUGCCGAAGGCCGCAUCGUCUCUCACCUGCUGAGUGAUGGCAUAGUGCGACAUGAAGGUGUGGGUGGAAGACCAUGUUGCUGCCUUGCAUAUGUCCUGAAUAGGGACUUGCACAAGGAAUGCGGCGGAAGAAGCCUGUGCUCUUGCGGAGUGCACCGUUAAUGCUGGGGCUAGAAUCUUAACCAGGUCAUAGCACGUUCUGAUGCAGGACGUGCUCCACAAUGAAAUGUGCUGAAAUGAGAUGGGAAGCCCUUUCAUCCUUUCAGCGAUUGCAAUAAAGAGCUGUGGUGACUUACGAAA